rnacentral:lncRNA from 10 species
GACCUCAGGAAUCGGUCUCCCGCAGGCUGGCGAGAGCCACAGUGAGAACGAGGAAACUCCAGACGGCCUCCGGGCAGGCCCCUUACCAGCCUGGGGCGUCUUCCUCGAUAAUGGAACUGAGAAUCAGUCCCUACCUGCCCGGCAAGAAGACGGGAAAAACCUCCAACUACCUUGGAGGAAAUCAAUAGGAUUACGAGGUUAAUGCCAGAGCAGGCUGAGUGACAGUUACCAAAUAAAUGAUCUUGGGAGGACAUGGCUGAGGUUAAACGAGGCCCAAUAAAUAAAGGAGCGUGUUCAAAGGAGAAACUUCAGAAAAUGCAAGGACGCCGGAGGCGGGGGUGGUGGUCGGGCCUGGGGACUCCUUCCUGUCCUCUCGUCGGGGACCUGUUGAAUCUCCCAGAGGAGCCACAGCCCCGGGCCUGCCUUUCACAACCUGCCCACUCGGGUCUGCACCCUGUUCCGUGCCAGUGUUGGCAUAGCUCCAGGGCACAGCACUCCUUGGACAGCUGCAUCCCCCCAGCUUUGGAGACUGAAUGAGGGAAUGGAAAGUCUUACCGUGGAGGCCUGACCAGUUAACAGAGCCCCAGCGUGCCUCUGACUCCUUAGAGAAAGGACCAACUGCAGCAAGAGGGGUUGAAGCUAGAUGUGAGGAGGCACUUCCCAAACAGAUUGAUGGACAGAGCUUAUGGGCCUUGGAGACAAGGAAGUUUCCCGUAGGCCUUCAGCUGAGUGUCUUUUCUUCAUGAAAUCUGCUAUAGAACGGUUUUGAUGACUGAGCAGUAAGCAAAGUCCCUUCUCCAAUUUCUUCCAAAUCUUCCCACUGAUGCCCACAUCAAGCCUCCUUCCAUUCCCUUUUCUACUGUGCCUGCCCCUUUAGAAUUGGGGAUUGAAAAACCCAAGCACAGAGAGCAGCUCUGGGUGAGUGGGGCCGGAGGCAGAUGGGGGACGUUUGAGGAAGAGGGCAGCAGGGAGAAGAAGGCCUUGGUGACAUGGGAUGGGGGCACUCAGGAAGCUCCAGGACACGCUUCUUGGGACGGCAAUUGGAAAAGAGGCUUGAGCUUGGUACAGACUGCUAGAAGGGCCCUGUGAUGUGGGGAAGGAGCGGAAGGCACCAAGGACGUGCCUUUUGUUGGAGUUUCAUUCAGCUUUGUUGCCAUGAGUCAUUUGGCUUUGUGUUUAUAUAGUGCCUUCAUAGUAAUAAAUCAGACUCAAGGAAGGAGAGAGAAUGGUGUUCUGAGCCCCCGGUGCAACCCUGUGGUGUGUCCCUCCACACCCAGGGCUGGAUUGCCUCUGGGGCAGUAGGUCUGUGGCCAAGUAGGUGGGGUGUGGGGUAGGAGAAGAGGGUUCUUUGCCCGGUGGCCUGUUAUAAAGGAUUUUAUUCCAGAUGAAAGCACAAUUUUCCUUAUCGUCACUUGUUUCUGAUGUAGUCAAGAAUUUCCCUUUUUAAAAAUUUGUGUUUUAUAGAGAUAGGGUCUUUUUGUUGUUGUUUGUUGUUUGUUCGUUUGUUUUUUGAGACGGAGUCUCACUCUGUCACCCAGGCUGGAGUGCAGUGGCACAAUCUCAGCUCACUGCAACCUCUGUCUCCUGGGUUUAAGCGAUACUCCUGCCUCAGCUUCCAAGUAGCUGGGAUUACAGGAGUGCACCACCACAUCCGGCCAAUUUUUAUAUUUUCAGUAGACACAGGGUUUCACCAUGUUGGCGAGCCUGGUCU